rnacentral:piRNA from 1 species
UACGUCCGAUAGAAUUCAGCAUCACUGUG